rnacentral:rRNA from 1 species
AUUGAACGCUGGCGGCAUGCUUUACACAUGCAAGUCGAACGGCAGCGGGGAGGAGCUUGCUUCUCUGCCGGCGAGUGGCGCACGGGUGAGUAAUACAUCGGAACGUGUCGAGAAGAGGGGGAUAACCACCCGAAAGGGUGGCUAAUACCGCAUAAAUUCUGAGGAAGAAAGCUGGGGACCUAGGAAUAGGCCUAGCGCUUUUUGAGCGGCCGAUGUCGGAUUAGCUAGUUGGUGAGGUAAAGGCUCACCAAGGCGAAGAUCUGUUGCGGGUCUGAGAGGAUGAUCCGCCACACUGGGACUGAGACACGGCCCAGACUCCUACGGGAGGCAGCAGUGGGGAAUUUUGGACAAUGGGGGCAACCCUGAUCCAGCCAUGCCGCGUGUAUGAAGAAGGCCUUAGGGUUGUAAAGUACUUUUGUUAGGGAAGAAAAGUCAGCUGUGAAUAAUGGCUGAUACUGACGGUACCUAAAGAAUAAGCACCGGCUAACUACGUG